rnacentral:rRNA from 1 species
AUACGUAGGGGGCAAGCGUUGUCCGGAAUUAUUGGGCGUAAAGCGCGCGCAGGCGGCCUGUUAAGUCUGGUGUGAAAGACCACGGCUCAACCGAGGGGUGGCAUCAGAAACUGGCGGGCUUGAGUGCAGGAGAGGAGAGUGGAAUUCCCGGUGUAGCGGUGGAAUGCGUAGAGAUCGGGAGGAACACCAGUGGCGAAGGCGACUCUCUGGCCUGUAACUGACGCUGAGGCGCGAAAGCGUGGGGAGCGAACAGGAUUAGAUACCCUGGUAGUCCACGCCGGAAACGAUGAGUGCUAGGUGUUGGGGGUCUCCGCCCUCGGUGCCGAAGGUAACCCAAUAAGCACUCCGCCUGGGGAGUACGGCCGCAAGGCUGAA